rnacentral:misc_RNA from 1 species
GAUGAAGAACGCAGCGAAAUGCGAUACGUAAUGUGAAUUGCAGAAUUCAGUGAAUCAUCGAAUCUUUGAACGCAUAUUGCGCUCUCUGGUAUUCCGGAGAGCAUGCUUGUUUGAGUAUCAGUAAACACCUCAACUUCCAUAUCUUUUUUGAAAUGGGAGUUGGUCUUGAGUGAUCCCAACGCUUUUCCUCACCGAAAAGUGGCGGGUUACUUGAAAUGCAGGUGCAGCUGGACUUUUCUCUGAGCUAUAAGCAUAUCUAUUUAGUCUGCCUAAAAAACAGAUUAUUACCUUUGCUGCAGCUAACAUAAAGGAGAUUAGUUCUUGUGCUGACUGAUGCAGGAUUCACAAAGACAGGCUUCGGCCGACUUUGUAAACUCGAUCUCAAAUCAAGUAAGACUACCCGCUGAACUUAAGCAUAUCAAUAAGCGGAGGA